rnacentral:rRNA from 1 species
UCCGUAGGGUGCGAGCGUUGUCCGGAAUUAUUGGGCGUAAAGAGCUCGUAGGCGGUUUGUCGCGUCGGCCGUGAAAACUUGGGGCUUAACCCCGAGCCUGCGGUCGAUACGGGCAGACUUGAGUUCGGCAGGGGAGACUGGAAUUCCUGGUGUAGCGGUGAAAUGCGCAGAUAUCAGGAGGAACACCGGUGGCGAAGGCGGGUCUCUGGGCCGAUACUGACGCUGAGGAGCGAAAGCGUGGGGAGCGAACAGG